GAUGAGCGCUGGCGGCGUGCUUAACACAUGCAAGUCGAACGAAGCAUUUAGAACAGAUUAUUUCGGUAUGAAGUUCUUUAUGACUGAGUGGCGGACGGGUGAGUAACGCGUGGGUAACCUGCCUUGUACUGGGGGAUAGCAGCUGGAAACGGCUGGUAAUACCGCAUAAGCGCACAAUGUUGCAUGACAUGGUGUGAAAAACUCCGGUGGUAUAAGAUGGACCCGCGUCUGAUUAGCUAGUUGGUGAGAUAACAGCCCACCAAGGCGACGAUCAGUAGCCGACCUGAGAGGGUGACCGGCCACAUUGGGACUGAGACACGGCCCAGACUCCUACGGGAGGCAGCAGUAGGGGAAUAUUGCACAAUGGAGGAAACUCUGAUGCAGCGACGCCGCGUGAGUGAAGAAGUAAUUCGUUAUGUAAAGCUCUAUCAGCAGGGAAGAUAGUGACGGUACCUGACUAAGAGGCUCCGGCUAAAUACGUGCCAGCCGCCGCGGUAA
rnacentral:rRNA from 1 species